CAUAUCAAGAUAUUGGUGGCAGAAGGGACAUGGUAAAAGGGGCAUUCAUUGGUGCCCGUGGAAGAAUCUUUUUUUUCUAAAAGAGAAUGGUGGUUUAGGUUUUCGAAACUGGAGUCAUUUUAAUAUCGCAUUGCUUGUAAAACAAGGAUGGCGUCUGAUUAAUUAUCCCAAUUCAUUAUUAGCCAGGGUUUUAAAAGCAAAGUAUUAUCCGAAUUCAAAUUUUCUGAAGGCAGAGUUAGGAAGGUUACCUUCACUCACCUGGAAGAGCAUAUGGGCAACUAAGGGUCUCCUUUAGAAAGGCUUAUGCUGGCAAAUCGGCAGAGGAAAUAAAAUCUCUAUCUGGCAGGAUUGUUGGAUCCAGGGAGUUGAUUCAUUGGAAAGGCCGAAUAGUCCAGACAAUUACAACCAGAGUUAGUAUCAGAUCUUAUUGAUGGGGUGAAUAGAAAAUGGAAGGUAGAGUUGAUUAAUAAUACCUUUCAUUUGUAGGUUGCUCGAAAAAUUCUACGGAUCCCAUUAUCGGAGUCAGCUCAUGAGGAUUUCCAAGUUUGGAAAGGUGAAUAGACCGGUCAUUACUCAGUCCGUAGUACUUAUAAACUAUUACAAAUUGCUAACUUAGAUCCUGGCAAUUAUUUAUUACAAACCGAAAAUAAGAAAUUUUUUGAAAAGCUAUGGAAUCUACAACUACCAUCUAAGAUUACAAUUAUCAUCUGGCGCAUUGCCUGGAAUUACAUCCCUACUUUAGCAAAUCUUAGACAGAGAAGAAUAGUGACGAAUGUUGUUUGUCCUCGAUGUGGUUUUGGGGAAGAAGACUGCUAUACAUUUUUAGGCAAUGUCCUGCAAGCAUGGAAGUCUGGCAUUUAUUAGAUAUGGGUUGGACCACAAAUAUUAUGCAACCAAAUUUUUGGGAGUGGCUUACCAUGGUCUUCGAACAAGGAAGAGAUGAACAGUGUAGAUAUUUUUGCUAUACUUCAUAGUUGCUUUGGUAUGCGAGAAAUCAGGUUGUGCAUGAAAGAGUUUAUUCAACAGGUGCUGAUCUUACACAAAAAGUCCAGAACCUCGUCGUAGAAUAUGAAGAGGUCAGAGCCAAGAAGAGUCUAUUGAAUAUGGUGUGUCAUCAAAGAACUAAGGAGAACUUACCGAUUAUAAAGAUCCAGUUUGAUGCUGUGUUUGACUCUAGAAAUUACAGAUCGGCGACUGGGCUGGUGGUUUGGGGAAAAACGAACGAAUAUUUGGCUUCAAAAUCAUUCAUUUAUUAUGAUAUUGCUUCUCCAUUUGUAGCAGAAGCAUAUGCGAGUUUAGAAGCAGUUAAGUUAGGAAUCGAGAUAGGCUUCCAGGAGAUACAAAUACAGGGAGAUUCAUUAACAGUAGUAAAGAAAUGUCAGUUAACCACAAUCGAUUAUUCAGUUAUUGAAGCAAUUAUCAAAGAUAUUCAGGCUAAGAAAUUGAGCUUUCAGAAGAUAGAGUUCAAGCACAUUCCGAAAAUGAAGAACACGAGUGGUCACAACAUUGCGAAGACAACAUUAAAGAGAAGUGAAAGAACUUACCUGGAGGAUGGAGAGUUGAACCGCCAGAAUGGGGGGGUAACAGAACUAUGGGCAAGAAAUCCAGAUUGAAAAGAUAAGGGAAGAUUCUGAUGUACAAGUAGAUAGCAAAGAGAGCAAAUUUUGGGAAGAGCUAUCGUCAGACGGAUGGAAGUGAUGGGAUAGGUGAUUUGAAAAGACGAGAAGAUAAUGACUUCCAACCGUUGAAAGUUUGACAAAGGGUAAUUUAAGAGUCUUUUUUUUAGGCAGCUUUUUAGUAAUGGCUGUUUCAAUUUUAUUUUUUCAUUUCUUUUCUUUAAGGUUUAAUAGUUCCCUUUUAAUAUGAAGUAGGCUUGGUCUGAUUUGCUGUUGGGCUUGUUAAAACAAGCCUGAAUACUUUGUUUCUUUAAUUUUUCAAAUAAAUACCCAG
rnacentral:lncRNA from 1 species